rnacentral:lncRNA from 1 species
GCCGGGGCUGCCGGCCCUGCCGCGAGGAGCAGGAGUCUGGAAAGCGGCAACUGGCUUCCUAUUGUACAGCACAGGGUGGGCUGCCGUGAGCCUCAGCAGACCCGGGCAGGCCUCGUGAGAAUGUAGGACGUAAGCGUUUUGGGAGGUUCGGAAAGCGGACUGCAGAGCCCUUGCCUGCAGCUCUGGUUUGCGCCCUGGCUCCGGCCUUACUUGUGUUUCGCCCACAAGAAUGGCUUCCUUCAGUCUUUCCUGAAGUUGGGCGCCAUGCAGAAAGCCUUGAGUUAGAAGCUGGAGGGAGGAGGGCUUAUAGAUGCUUGCGGAACGUCCUUAAACCAGCAUGAAAUGUUGGAGGUUGAGGUGAAAAAUACUGCUUUGAUAUCUUCAUGGAAGACUGCAUUAUUUCAUCCCUGAAUCUGGUUCAGUUCCCUUAUUGACUGAUUACUGUGUUAAAAUGCUUGUUUAGCAGUGAUUGUAAAAUAACAGUAAUUAACAUGUACAUGCUCUCUUGGGGCAGACUAAGGGAAAACAGGUGUUCAGCCUGGAAAAGUGUUGCUCAUUGGAUUUCCCAUUAAGUCAGUAUGUCUUGGGUUUAACUUUUAAACAAGUUAAAAAAUUAAAUAUUUUAAAAUCUAUAGGCUAUUCUGUUUCAAUAUUUCUAUUACCUUUGUGGUGUCAGAAAAUGUGCUUUGAAUUGCUAAAAUGAGUUGUAUUAGCAAACACCUGUCUCAGCAGAGGCACUUACUAGAAUUU